rnacentral:rRNA from 1 species
UUCUUUGUCGGGGCGGGUACAAAGUAGGGCCUGCCCACUGUGUAAAUGAAGGGCCGCAGUAUACUGACUGUGCUAAGGUAGCGUAAUCAUUAGUCUUUUAAUUAAAGAAUAGAAUGAAUGGUUUGACCGGUAAGGGCUUUUUUAAAUUUAAAAUCUGAAAUUAGGCUUUAAGUGAAAACUCUUAAAUUUUUCUAUAAGACGAUAAGACCCUUUAGAGCUUGACUUAUUAUACAUUUUAUAAAUUCGGGGGGGUUUAUAAAAUGUAUAAUAAGUUUUGUUGGGGCAACAUUGGAAUAAAAUUAACUUCUCAUUAUGUAUUAUUGUUUAGAUAGUGUAAUCUUAGAUUUAAAAUUUAAAAAGUUACCUAAGGGAUAACAGCGUUAUACUUCUGGGGAGUUCUUAUCGAUAGAAGUUCUUGCGACCUCGAUGUUGAAUUAAAAAUUCUUUUAGGUGCAGUUGCUUAAGGAGAUAGUCUGUUCGACUAUAAAAUUUUU